rnacentral:misc_RNA from 1 species
GAUGAAGAACGCAGCGAAAUGCGAUAAGUAGUGUGAAUUGCAGAAUUCAGUGAAUCAUCGAAUCUUUGAACGCACAUUGCGCCCCUUGGUAUUCCAUGGGGCAUGCCUGUUCGAGCGUCAUUUGUACCUUCAAGCUUUGCUUGGUGUUGGGUGUUUGUCUCGCCUUUGCGUGUAGACUCGCCUUAAAAUAAUUGGCAGCCGGCGUAUUGAUUUCGGAGCGCAGUACAUCUCGCGCUUUGCACUCAUAACGACAGCGUCCAAAAGUACAUUUUACACUCUUGACCUCGCAUCAGGUAGGGAUACCCGCUGAACUUAAGCAUAUCAAUAAGCGGAGGA